rnacentral:tRNA from 1 species
GGAGAGGUGACCGAGAGGCCGAAGGUACCGCACUGCUAAUGCGGAGGCUCGUAACAACGGGCCCGAGGGUUCAAAUCCCGCCCUCUCCGCCA